UUUAGUAUCGUACUUUAAAAAUUACAAAUAUCUACCUCAAUACCAAAUAGGCCUAAGUGAACUUGACCAUCAUUUAGGGAUCAAUUUAUAAAAUUAGAUAACAAUUGUCAUUACCAAAGGUAUGAUUAACAUGUCCAAGUGUUAUUAAUAAAGUUUUAUUGUAUUUUUAGUACAAUAAUUAUUAUUAUACGUUGUUGUCAAAUGUCAAUAACAUAAUAGAUAAUGAUUUAUAACAUAUCACUCGAAUACAAAAUUUUAAUAGGUGAAGUUAGAUAAUAAGCAAAAUUUUAGUUGAUGAAGCUAGUUAAUAAACGAAACCACUCAAUAACCCAGUAGUAAAAUACAAAUUACAUAUUUUCUCACUUGCGUAGGUAGGACUUUGAAAUCUCUCCUACGCACAACGAAGGUUGAUUUUAUUCAAAAUAUUUGAAAAAUAGAUACAAUCUAUUAUAGAGCUAAGUAUUUUAACUCAUUUAUCAAUAAAUAUUCAAUUUAGGAGUUUUUGAUGAGCUUCAAAACUCAAAAGUUUGAUUCAAGAGGCUUCGGUGGUCCUAGAUAUGGGCUUGCUAAUUGCUAUUGCUGUGCUAUUAUUAGAGAGCUACCAAAAAUUGAAAAACAUAUGAUACUCUUGUAUUGUAUUGCAACAAUAGCAAGAAAGGAUCACACUAGUAUAAAAGGUGUGGGACUGCUGACGUGUAGCGCGUCUGUAUGCGUGUUGACGUGUCAAACUGCUAGUUGUUUACGGGUUGUAAAUUGUAGUCCUCUGCAACUGGCACGCCUUUACCUACCGUGGUCAUUCGUCUUGAGCCGCUUGAAAGUUGAAACCUACCAUUUCUGGGAACAAGUCAUGCAGUGAAUGGCUGGCUACGUGGAACGAUUCGUUUUUUGUUCUAAUUUAGGUAGCGUUUACUUUUUGGAUUGGAUUGGGAAUUCUGGGGAGUGAGAAUCCUAGGAUUGGGAGUGUGGAGUGGGAGUGAGAGUAGGUUGUUUACUUACACUGGAAUGGAAGCAUGGAAUGGAGAUCAGAAUCCAAUUUAUGUGUUUACUUUGUCUUGGAUUGGGAGUAAAUAGUUUCAAAUUACAAUUUUAUCCUUAUUUAAAGAAUUAUAAUUUUUAAUUACAAAACUAAUAAAAAAUAUAUUUAAUGAAUAAUAUUUAUUUUAUUAUAUUUGUAAAUUUAUUAUAAUUAUUAAUAUUCUUAAUUAUGAACAAUAAAUUAUUAAUUGUAAUUUUAAUAUAAAAUGAAAUGUUAUUUUAUUUUAUUUAAUAUAAUUAUAUUAAAUUUAUUAUUAUAUAAAAUAAUAAUAUAAUAUUAUUUAGUACAAAAUUAAUAUUUUCUUAGAAUAAAGUAUUUAUUAUUAUUAUUAAAUAAAUAUAGUACUAUUAUUUUUAAAAUAAAUAUAAUAAUAUUAUAUUUAUUAAUUCUCUAUUAAUAUAAUAUUAUUAUUUUAAAAUAAUUUUAACUUAGAAUCAAUGUAAAUUAUUAUUUAGUUAAAUAUAAUAUUAUUAUUUAAAUAAAUAUAAUAUUAUUAUUUAAAUAAAUAUAAUAAUAUUAUUUAAAUAAAUAUAAUAUUAUUUAUUUUAUUUUAUUAAUUAUAAAACAUAAAAUAAAAAAAAAAGGUAGAAAUGGGAGAGGUGGGAGUGGAUUCCCACUCCCACCUCCCCCAAUGGGAGUCCCACUCCCACUCCCCACUCCAAAAAUGGGUGGGGCCCACGGAGUGGGAUUCCCAAUCCCUCCCCAUUUUAAGUAAGUAAACGCUGGAGUGGGAGGAAUCCACACUCCUCACUCCCACUCCAGCAAGUAAACACAACAUUAGAGGUUGGGCCUUUUCAAGUAAAUCAAACUUCCUAAACUACCCUUAUCCGUCAGAUCAUUGAAUGUCCGAAGUACCCUUAUUAGUUCGCUUCAAUUGCAGAGUAGUCCAUUUAAAUCAAAACGCGGGAUGGGCGGAAAGAUUAGCGAAUGCCUGUCUGUCUCGUGCGUGGCUUUUCGUCUAUUUCAUUGUAGUCGAAGAUAUUCAAUUACCGUACUCAUUCGCUUUCCUUCCAAAUGACGGUUCCCACAAGCCACAUCCUUCAUAGACGCGUGCUCACACGCACGAUCCCAUCACGGGAGAAUUAUAAGUCUUUGCCUUGAUCGGCAUAGCAUUUUUAGGUAGAGAUUUUUCAAGUUAUGAUUUUUACUAAAAAGUUUCUAGUUAUUAUUUAUGAUUAAGAGCUCUUAUUAGAAAUUAGUUUUCUUUUUAUGAUACAUUUAAUCGGAAUAACUUACAAUCUGAUUGGAUUGCAGGAUUUUUUUUAAGAAGAUAAACACCAUUAAAUAAUUUAAUUUUUCAUUUUAGUUGUCUAAUCUAAUAAGUGGAUAUAUUUUUAAAAGUAUAUUACAAA
rnacentral:lncRNA from 1 species